GAAAUGUGAUAAGUAGUGUGAAUUGCAGAAUUCAGUGAAUCAUCGAAUCUUUGAACGCACAUUGCGCCCUUUGGUAUUCCUUAGGGCAUCCCUGUUCGAGCGUCAUCUAAACCUUCAAGCCCUGCUUGGUGUUGGGUGCCUGUCCCGCCUCCGCGCGCGGACUCACCUCAAAUCCAUUGGCGGCCCCCGCGUCGGCCACGAGCGCAGCAGAAACGCGAACUCGUGAGCCCGUCCGGGCGGCUCCCAGAAGCUACACCCACCCAGUUUGACCUCGGAUCAGGUAGGGAUACCCGCUGAACUUAAGC
rnacentral:misc_RNA from 1 species